GGUUCUCAUUUUUAAGGAAGUACCUAUUCACUUCUCUUGUCCACUGUUUUGUGUUGUGUAUUUCUUACAGAUAGGACAGUGGUUGUUCUCUUCAUGAAUAUUGCAGGUGAUCUCCCUUAAUGGCUUGCCUUUUCACUGUUACCCUUUCAAUCUUGUAACACUCCAAGUCUCUCCUUUUAUGAGUGCUUUUCAUGUCUUGAUUUAGAAUUUGUCACCUAGACUUAUGAACAUAUUUUCUAUAUUAUUGUUUUAUUUUGCUGAAUCCAGUCUGAUGUUGCCCCCAAAGAGGCAGCAUGUGCUGGGAUGUGGCUCAGUAGCAGAGUGCUUGCUUAGCAUGUGCAAGGAAGGGGGUUCAAUGUUCAGCACCACACAAAAAAAAGGCAGCAGGGGAAUUCCUACAAGGGGAGUGCCCCAAUUGUCUUGCUAUGGGGCCUGUUGGGAUUGUAAUGAAAGAAGCACUAAAAAGCCAGAUGAUCAUUCCUGAGCAUCUGUUAAAACUUACAGAGUGGGCUUCAGCAUCAUGACAAUGAGAGACAGGGAUGUCCUACCUAGCUAGAUUUGUCUGCAGUGAGGGGGACAUGAGGAUUUAAGGAUUUGGGCAACCACCUAAACCAGUUUAUCAGUGCCUGGGAAUGUUCAAGGCACCAGUUUGGGCUCAAACCUGCAGGGAAAUACCUACAGCUGUCUGGGUCACAAAGUAGUCAAGACACAGAAAGGGGAGGGGUGAUUAGGUGACCCUACAGUUAUUUUAUGGACACUUUAUUGUGUCACUUUUUACAUUAGAUUUAUAGUUUACCUGCAGGUGAUCUGCAUGUAUUAGGGGAUAAAUUUCAUUUUCCCCCAUAUAGACAUCUAAUAAUCCAUUUACAUUUAUUGAAAGGAUCAUACUCUCCGGCUGGGGUUGUUGUUCAGAGGUAGAGUGCUCAGCUAGCAUACGUGAGGCCCUGGGUUCCAUCCUUAGCACCACAUAAAAAUAAAAUAAAGGUGUUGUGUCCACUUACAAUUAAAAAAAAUUAAAUAUUAAAAAAAGAAAAGAUCAUACUCUCUCCAUUGUUUUGCUAUGCCAAAUGUCAUAAGUCAGCUGUCUAUACAUGUUUGGAUUCUUUUUUUUUUCCCACUAGACUGUCUAUCCUUGUGCUAAUAUUGCAUCAUCUUAAAUACUCUAUUGCCAGAUGUGGUGGUGCAUGCCUGUAAUCUCAGUGGCUCAGGAGGCUGAGGCAGGAGGAUCUCAAGUUCACAGCCAGCCUCAGCAACUUAGCAAGGCCUUAACCAACUUAAUGAGACUAUAUCUCAAAAUAAAGAAAAGGGGCUGGGGAUGUAGCUCAGUGGUUAAGCUACAUUCCUGGUGCCAAAUCCCUAGUACAAAAACAAACAAAAAAGCCCUCUAUUUCUUAAUGGAAUAUUUUUUCUCUCAUGAUUUGUGAUUUUCAUACAAAGUAUUUCACUAACUUGAUAUGAAGUAGAUAUUGUGUAUUGUCAUCAUGAGGACUGGGGAACCCAAUUAGAAGUUCUCCUGUGUUCUAUCCUUAUUACCUGGUGGUCAGCAUUUUAGAAUAAAAGGAAUGUGCCAUUACAGGGACUAGUGACAUUUGAGGAUGUGGCUGUGGAUUUCACCCAGGAGGAGUGGCAGUACCUGAACUCUCUGCAGAGGACCUUAUACCGAGAUGUGAUGCUAGAGACCUACAGCAACCUGGUCUCCGUGGGUAAGAAUGGCUUCCUCAGGUAAUUUUGCUGUUUAUGAUUACUGCAUUAAAUGGAGGAUAUUUUGUUUCUCAAUUUCCCACUUUUCUUUCCUGAAAAGGUAUUUGAGAACUAAAAAUCCAAGUUAAAUGGUUUGACAUUACCAUUGUAUCAAACAACAGGUUCCCUUGUGCUGUCACCAAACUGAAACUUCUUUUGCCUUGGCUCUGAAGAAUUAUACCAAGAAGCUAUCUGUUAUUUGUCAUUAACAGGGCAACAGGUUUGUAAACCAGACCUCAUCCUCAAGUUGGAGGUGGAAGAGCUAUGCCCAGCAGAAGACAGAAUUCCAAUUUGGAGCUUUCCAGGUAAAUAGGAUUGACUCAGACUCUGAG
rnacentral:lncRNA from 1 species